AAGCCUCAUGUGGUCUGCAA
rnacentral:misc_RNA from 1 species